rnacentral:rRNA from 1 species
AUUGAACGCUGGCGGCAGGCCUAACACAUGCAAGUCGAACGGUAACAGGAAGACGCUUGCUUCUUUGCUGACGAGUGGCGGACGGGUGAGUAAUGUCUGGGAAACUGCCUGAUGGAGGGGGAUAACUACUGGAAACGGUAGCUAAUACCGCAUAACGUCGCAAGACCAAAGAGGGGGACCUUCGGGCCUCUUGCCAUCGGAUGUGCCCAGAUGGGAUUAGCUAGUAGGUGGGGUAACGGCUCACCUAGGCGACGAUCCCUAGCUGGUCUGAGAGGAUGACCAGCCACACUGGAACUGAGACACGGUCCAGACUCCUACGGGAGGCAGCAGUGGGGAAUAUUGCACAAUGGGCGCAAGCCUGAUGCAGCCAUGCCGCGUGUAUGAAGAAGGACUUCGGGUUGUAAAGUACUUUCAGCGGGGAGGAAGGGAGUAAAGUUAAUACCUUUGCUCAUUGACGUUACCCGCAGAAGAAGCACCGGCUAACUCCGUG